UGGGGAAUAUUGCACAAUGGGCGCAAGCCUGAUGCAGCCAUGCCGCGUGUGUGAAGAAGGCCUUCGGGUUGUAAAGCACUUUCAGCGGGGAGGAAGGCGUUAAGGUAAAUAACCUUGGCGAUUGACGUUACCCGCAGAAGAAGCACCGGCUAACUCCGUGCAAGCAGCCGCGGUAAUACGGAGGGUGCAAGCGUUAAUCGGAAUUACUGGGCGUAAAGCGCACGCAGGCGGUCUGUCAAGUCGGAUGUGAAAUCCCCGGGCUCAACCUGGGAACUGCAUUCGAAACUGGCAGGCUAGAGUCUUGUAGAGGGGGGUAGAAUUCCAGGUGUAGCGGUGAAAUGCGUAGAGAUCUGGAGGAAUACCGGUGGCGAAGGCGGCCCCCUGGACAAAGACUGACGCUCAGGUGCGAAAGCGUGGGGAGCAAACAGG
rnacentral:rRNA from 1 species